rnacentral:rRNA from 1 species
GAUGAACGCUAGCGGCAGGCUUAACACAUGCAAGUCGAGGGGCAGCACGAUGUAGCAAUACAUGGGUGGCGACCGGCGCACGGGUGCGUAACACGUAUGCAAUCUACCUUGUACAGGGGAAUAGCCCAGAGAAAUUUGGAUUAAUGCCCCAUAGUAUAUAACCUUCGCAUGUUGGUUAUAUUAAAGUUCCAACGGUACAAGAUGAGCAUGCGUCCCAUUAGUUAGUUGGUAAGGUAACGGCUUACCAAGACGAUGAUGGGUAGGGGUCCUGAGAGGGAGAUCCCCCACACUGGUACUGAGACACGGACCAGACUCCUACGGGAGGCAGCAGUGAGGAAUAUUGGUCAAUGGGCGCAAGCCUGAACCAGCCAUGCCGCGUGCAGGAAGACGGUCCUAUGGAUUGUAAACUGCUUUUAUACGGGAAGAAACAACUCUACGUGUAGAGUCUUGACGGUACUGUAGGAAUAAGGAUCGGCUAACUCCGUGCCAGCCGCCGCAGUAACAC